rnacentral:lncRNA from 1 species
AUGAAAUAAAAUGUGAAAAAAUAAAAAUCAGAUGAAGAAAAAUAAAAGAGAAUUUUAGAAAUUAUUUUGAGAUUUUUUGGAUGUAAAAUGAAAUUACUAUGAAUUUUAAAAGAAAAAGAAAUUAAAAAUAAUAAAAGAUAAAGAAUUAAAAAUCAUAAAAACACGGAACUUGGGAUCACACCUCAUUAAUUGACGUGGCAAAUCCAACAGCCCUCAAGUUAGGAUGCACGAUGGAACAACGCAGCCAAC